GUUAAAUUUAAACGUGAAAAUCUUCAUUAUUUUCAACUUGAAAUCGUUUUCAAAUCUAAAAAUGUUGAUUUAUUGCCGUUUUUAAGUAUCUAUUUCAAGAAAAAGCUAACUUUUAAAACAAAACACAUUUUGAAUCAUUAACCUACUAGAACAGAAAUGUUUACCCAAUUUGCAAGACGCCCCUUAAACGGCCUUUUCUGGCUUCUCCGUUUCCCGAAGUCUAUAGCCAAGAACUGUCAUACGUUUUAGUGACUUAGACGGUUUUUUUUUCUGCUGCGUUUUGAUCGUGUCACAGAUGGCGAAAACGGAUUUCAUUUGGAACUAGUUGAUAACAUUAAUGCGUGUAAUCAUUUAUGAUGUCAUUUUUGUAAGACUGAUUAUUUUGCGGAAAUGUAUUUGUAAACAUUGCCGCGUGAAAAUGCCUCUUCAAUUACCGUCAGCGGAUUCUAAAAUUUGUUGGAAAUCUUUUAGUUUUUAUUUUUCUUUCCUUAUUGUCUAUUCGAUAUUUCUCACUCACGUUUAUUGAUAUGUCAAUCCUACAUAAAUACUGUGUUAUAAAAUUCAUAAAGGUGAAAAAGUAGGGUAGGUAGAUAGGUCACCUAAAUUAAUUUUUGAUUUCACCGGGUUCGGUUAUAAUGGAAAAACAAAACUAUCUAUCAAGAAAUCAAUAAAAAAAAAAAAAAAAAUUUUACAUAUCUGCCCGUACUCAAAC